CUGAAAUACCUGCAGUCAGUUCGUGAGUGUCUU
rnacentral:sRNA from 1 species